UACAGAGGUGCCGAGCGUUAGGCGGAAUCACUGGGCUUAAAGCGUGUGUAGGCGGACCGUUAAGUACCUUGUGAAAUCCCCCGGCUCAACCGGGGAACGGCUGGGUAUACUGGCGGUCUUGAGCCAUCCAGGGGCAGUCGGAACAGACGGUGGAGCGGUGAAAUGCGUAGAUAUCGUCUGGAACGCCGAAGGUGAAAACAGACUGCUGGGGAUGUGCUGACGCUGAGACACGAAAGCCAGGGGAGCGAACGGG
rnacentral:rRNA from 1 species